GGUUCUUUUGAGCCCGACCUCCAACCCUUUGUUUAAACUACCAUGUUGCUUUGGCAGGCCCGUCUACGGACCGCUGGGGGUGUUCAGUCACCCCUGGUCAGUGCUUGCCAGUAGCCAAUUUAAAUUCUUUUUAACCAUGUCGUCUGAAUCAAAUUAAUAAAUUUAAUUAAAACUUUCAACAACGGAUCUCUUGGUUCUGGCAUCGAUGAAGAACGCAGCGAAAUGCGAUAAGUAAUGUGAAUUGCAGAAUUCAGUGAAUCAUCGAAUCUUUGAACGCACAUUGCGCCCUUUGGUAUUCCGAAGGGCAUGCCUGUUCGAGCGUCAUUAUCAACCAUCAAGCCCGGCUUGUUAUUGGGUCCUUUAUCGUUAAAACCGAUAGGCCCGAAAGAUAAUGGCGGCGUCAAGAUUGACCCCAGGUGCAGCGAGCUUUUUUGAGCAUACACUGUGGUGGUCUUCUUGGCCUGGCCUAGUUAAAACAUUUUUCUAAGGUUGACCUCGGAUCAGGUAGGAAUACCCGCUGAACUUAAGCAUAUCAAUAAGCGGAGGAAAAGAAACCAACAGGGAUUGCCUUAGUAACGGCGAGUGAAGCGGCAAUAGCUCAAAUUUGAAAUCUGGCUCUUUCAGAGUCCGAGUUGUAAUUUGUAGAGGAUGUUUCGGGCAAGGUUUCGGUUUAAAUUCCUUGGAACAGGAUGUCAUAGAGGGUGAGAACCCCGUCUUGAACCGCCGACCGCGUCCAUGUGAAACUCCUUCGACGAGUCGAGUUGUUUGGGAAUGCAGCUCAAAAUGGGAGGUAAAUUUCUUCUAAAGCUAAAUAUUGGCCAGAGACCGAUAGCGCACAAGUAGAGUGAUCGAAAGAUGAAAAGCACUUUGAAAAGAGAGUUAAACAGUAUGUGAAAUUGUUGAAAGGGAAGCGCUUGCAACCAGACUUGUUCUCAACAGUUCCACCACGGUUCUCCGUGGYUUACUCUGUUCUGACAGGCCAGCAUCGGUUUGGGUGGUCAGUUAAAGACUUUGGGAAUGUAUCAUCCGCUUCGGUGGUUGACUUAUAGCCCAAGGUGUAAUGUGACCUAUCC
rnacentral:rRNA from 1 species